UCAAAUUGCAACUCUCUGGAGUUUGGAAGGCUCCCUCUCCACCCACUUUCCACCUGGCAAGAUUUGCAUAAUCUCUCAGAUCUCUGAAAUACAUCUCAUGUGUGUUUGUCUCAUCUAUCCAUUCAUGUUUGGGUCACACUAA
rnacentral:lncRNA from 1 species